AGCUCAAUCAAAUGGCAGCCAGAGACUUGAGCUACUACAUCUAGAUACAGUCCAACCAAGCCACCAGCUAUUGCAUGAUAUGGGAAUAUCUAAAGUCGUGGAGCUGCUUUCCAAAGUGCUGGAAGGAAAUAAAUUGAUGAAAGCGGAAAUUACCAACCUGGGGAGUGAAGUGAGGGCGCUUAGGAGAGAGAUGGUGAGGCCGGUAGCACCAGAAGCUGCCGCUUCAUCCAUCAAGCUGCCUCUGAGGACAAUGGAGGAGUUUCAAUUAGCAGAGGCUGUUAUGAGAGAAACCCCCUGCGAAAAACAAAAGAUGAUCUUAACAUUCAGUCUAAUUGGAGGGCACACUGCAGAAGAGGCCGUAAGAAGGAUGUUGCAGAGUGGCCUAACAAAUAACCUGGCGUGUCGCUUCAACUGGGCAGGGAAAGGCUUCAAGGAAGCCUUUAAAAGCACUGUCCUUAGUGAUGUACUGUUCGCUGCACUCCAAAAACAGCUGCCAGGGACCACCCAUAUUGUUUUUUCAGGGACACUUAAGAAGUGGCUUAAAUAUGCACCAGAGAGAGAGGGAGGUGGAGGGAGGCGAACAAAUGAACGCGAUCAGGCGCCGCAGGAUCCUCGACCAUGAAUGAAUGUGUGUGUGUAAAUAAUAAUUAUAUUCGUUAGAAUAAUAGGGUUAAUUGGGUUUGGGUUGUUCGUGUUCAGUUAUCACGUUGUGUUGUUCAUUAUUGUCG
ensembl:lncRNA